rnacentral:misc_RNA from 1 species
CGUCACAGUGUGUAAGGGAACACCCAUAACUAAGUCUUCGCUUUCCUGUUUCAGAGAUCUGGAAACACACUCAGUGAAGCCAAAAAAACCACUCAAACCACUAUAAUAUAUGUCACGAGUGAAAGAAGGAGCGGGAAGACUGGCGACUACAAACUGCGCCCACGGGUCUAUGAGAUAUAAACAAAACGAAGUCAAUUUUAAUAUAUUGAAAUCUCAAGACAUUUAAUUUUUUUAGCCGAAAUCAAAAAAGGAGAGGCUAUCAGUUCUACUGUAUUUUU